CGGACUUCCUAGCGCUAAAUAUGACUGAAAACGGAGCACAAGCACAGCCCAGAACAAAUCGGUACAUCUGGAAAGCUAUACAAAUGGAUUCAGUACCCAUGAGGAAAGCAUCCUAACGAAAGACUUUCAAAUUGCCUUGUUCUCUCCGUCUGCGAAGGAGAGCCCCGCUGUUCCUCCCAAUUAAGACAGUAGAGCUGCCUGGUCGCCCGCCGCUCACAACACUUUCUGACUUAUCCUGUUUUCCACUUCCACUUCCAGACUGAUGGGGGAAGGAGAUGUGGAAUAGCAAGAGCUUUGACAUCGGCAUUUAUUUAAAGGAAAUCACCCCACCAAAAGCCACAGUACCAAACG